CUCCUUUGACGUUAGCGGCGGACGGGUGAGUAACACGUGGGUAACCUACCUAUAAGACUGGGAUAACUUCGGGAAACCGGAGCUAAUACCGGAUAAUAUUUCGAACCGCAUGGUUCGAUAGUGAAAGGUGGUUUUGCUAUCACUUAUAGAUGGACCCGCGCCGUAUUAGCUAGUUGGUAAGGUAACGGCUUACCAAAGGCGACGAUACGUAGCCGACCUGAGAGGGUGAUCGGCCACACUGGAACUGAGACACGGUCCAGACUCCUACGGGAGGCAGCAGGC
rnacentral:rRNA from 1 species